GACGAACGCUGGCGGCGUGCCUAAUACAUGCGAGUAGAACGCUGAAGAGAGGAGCUUGCUCUUCUUGGAUGAGUUGCGAACGGGUGAGUAACGCGUAGGUAACCUGCCUGGUAGCGGGGGAUAACUAUUGGAAACGAUAGCUAAUACCGCAUAAAAUUGAUUAUUGCAUGAUAAUUAAUUGAAAGAUGCAACUGCAUCACUACCAGAUGGACCUGCGUUGUAUUAGCUAGUUGGUGAGGUAACGGCUCACCAAGGCGACGAUACAUAGCCGACCUGAGAGGGUGAUCGGCCACACUGGGAAUGAGACACGGCCCAGACUCCUACGGGAGGCAGCAGUAGGGAAUCUUCGGCAAUGGGGGGAACCCUGACCGAGCAACGCCGCGUGAGUGAAGAAGGGUUUCGAAUCGUAAAGCUCUGUUGUAAGAGAAGAACGGGUGUGAGAGUGGAAAGUUCACACUGUGACGGUAUCUUACCAGAAAGGGACGGCUAACUACGUG
rnacentral:rRNA from 1 species